rnacentral:rRNA from 1 species
AUUGAACGCUGGCGGAAUGCUUUACACAUGCAAGUCGAGCGGCAGCGCGGGGCAACCUGGCGGCGAGCGGCGAACGGGUGAGUAAUACAUCGGAACGUACCCUGUCGUGGGGGAUAGCGAAUCGCAAGAUUCGCUAAUACCGCAUACGACCUGAGGGUGCAAGCGGGGGAUCGCAAGACCUUGAGCGAUAGGAGGGGCCGAUGGCGGAUUAGCUCGUUGGUGGGGUAAAGGCUCACCAAGGCGACGAUCCGUAGCUGGUCUGAGAGGAUGAUCAGCCACACUGGGACUGAGACACGGCCCAGACUCCUACGGGAGGCAGCAGUGGGGAAUUUUGGACAAUGGGCGCAAGCCUGAUCCAGCCAUUCCGCGUGAGUGAAGAAGGCCUUCGGGUUGUAAAGCUCUUUCGGCAGGAACGAAACGGUGGGGGCUAAUAUCCCUUGCUAAUGACGGUACCUGAAGAAGAAGCACCGGCUAACUACGUGCCAGCAGCCGCCGUAA